rnacentral:rRNA from 1 species
UACGUAGGGAGCAAGCGUUAUCCGGAUUUAUUGGGCGUAAAGGGUGCGUAGGCGGCUUGUUAAGUAUAAAAUUAAAGCCCGGGGCUUAACUCCGGUUCGUUUUAUAAACUGGCAGGCUAGAGUGCGGCAGAGGUAAAUGGAAUUUCUAGUGUAGCGGUUAAAUGCGUAGAUAUUAGAAAGAACACCAGUGGCGAAGGCGAUUUACUGGGCCGUAACUGACGCUGAGGCACGAAAGCGUAGGGAGCAAAUAGG